rnacentral:rRNA from 1 species
UGGGGAAUAUUGCACAAUGGGCGAAAGCCUGAUGCAGCAACGCCGCGUGAGCGAUGAAGGCCUUCGGGUCGUAAAGCUCUGUCCUCAAGGAAGAAUAAUGACGGUACUUGAGGAAGGAAAGCCCCGGCUAACUACGUG